rnacentral:rRNA from 1 species
AGUGAACGCUGGCGGUAGGCCUAACACAUGCAAGUCGAACGGCAGCACAGUAAGAGCUUGCUCUUACGGGUGGCGAGUGGCGGACGGGUGAGGAAUACAUCGGAAUCUACUUUUUCGUGGGGGAUAACGUAGGGAAACUUACGCUAAUACCGCAUACGACCUACGGGUGAAAGCAGGGGAUCUUCGGACCUUGCGCGAUUGAAUGAGCCGAUGUCGGAUUAGCUAGUUGGCGGGGUCAAGGCCCACCAAGGCGACGAUCCGUAGCUGGUCUGAGAGGAUGAUCAGCCACACUGGAACUGAGACACGGUCCAGACUCCUACGGGAGGCAGCAGUGGGGAAUAUUGGACAAUGGGCGCAAGCCUGAUCCAGCCAUACCGCGUGGGUGAAGAAGGCCUUCGGGUUGUAAAGCCCUUUUGCUGGGAAAGAAAAGCAGCAGGUUAAUACCCCGCUGUUCUGACGGUACCCAAAGAAUAAGCACCGGCUAACUUCGUG